rnacentral:rRNA from 1 species
UGGGGAAUAUUGCGCAAUGGGGGAAACCCUGACGCAGCAACGCCGCGUGAAGGAUGAAGGUUUUCGGAUCGUAAACUUCUUUGAUCGGGGAAGAUAAUGACGGUACCCGAGGAACAAGCCACGGCUAACUACGUGCCAGCAGCCGCGGUAAUACGUAGGUGGCAAGCGUUAUCCGGAAUUACUGGGCGUAAAGGGCGUGUAGGCGGGAAGACAAGUCAGGAGUGAAACUCCGGAGCUUAACUCCGGAACUGCUUCUGAAACUGUCUUUCUUGAGUGUUGGAGAGGAAAGUGGAAUUCCCGGUGUAGCGGUGAAAUGCGUAGAGAUCGGGAGGAACACCAGUGGCGAAGGCGGCUUUCUGGACAAUAACUGACGCUGAGGCGCGAAAGCGUGGGGAGCAAA